AAGCGCUUGGCCGAGAUCGUGAGUUUUUUUUUAACAAAUGACCUCAAAUCAGGCAAGAAUACCCGCUGAAUUAAGCAUAUCAAUAAGCGGAGGAAAAGAAACUAACAAGGAUUCCCCUAGUAACGGCGAGUGAAGAGGGAAGAGCUCAAAUUUUAAAUCUGCCUUGUUCCAAGGUCGAGUUGUAAUUUGAAGAAGCGUUUUCUUGGGCUCGCGGCCGGUAGAAGUUCUUUGGAACAGGACAUCAUAGAGGGUGACAAUCCCGUCCGUGACCGGUCGUGCGUUCAUCUACGAUACGCUUUCAAAGAGUCGAGUUGUUUGGGAUUGCAGCUCCAAACGGGUGGUAAACAUCACCUAAGGCUAAAUAUUGGCGAGAGACCGAUAGCGAACAAGUACCGUGAGGGAAAGAUGAAAAGAACUUUGAAAAGAGAGUUAAACAGUACGUGAAAUUGUUGAAAGGGAAACGAUUGAAGUCAGUCGUGCUGGCGCGAAAUCAACCCUCUCGUCUUGAGAUCACAUGGCGCGACGAGCCUCAAAACCGUCACGAAGCGUGAACUCUUGACGAAAAGGUGCACUUUCGUGUCCGCUGGUUAACAUCAAUUUCGAACGUCAUAAAAAGGCUGGAGGGAUGUGGCUCCUUCGGGAGUGUUAUAACCUUUAGCGGAAUGUGGCGUUCGGGAUUGAGGAUUGCAACGAAUACCUUCAGGGCUGUUCCACCUGGCUUCUCAUUGGUAUCCUGGUGACGACAGCUUGCUGACGUCGUUAGGAUCAGCUUCUGAACAGGCUAGAGUGUGAGCAAAUUCGUUAAGGAUGUUAACGUAAUGGCUUUAAACGACC
rnacentral:rRNA from 1 species